UGCAAGUCGAACGGUAGCAGGAAAGUGCUUGCACUUUGCUGACGAGUGGCGGACGGGUGAGUAAUGCUUGGGAACUUGCCUUUGCGAGGGGGAUAACAGUUGGAAACGACUGCUAAUACCGCAUAAUGUCUACGGACCAAACGGGGCUUAGGCUUCGGCGCAGAGAGAGGCCCAAGUGAGAUUAGCUAGUUGGUGGGGUAAAGGCUCACCAAGGCGACGAUCUCUAGCUGUUCUGAGAGGAAGAUCAGCCACACUGGGACUGAGACACGGCCCAGACUCCUACGGGAGGCAGCAGUGGGGAAUAUUGCACAAUGGGGGGAACCCUGAUGCAGCCAUGCCGCGUGUGUGAAGAAGGCCUUCGGGUUGUAAAGCACUUUCAGUUGUGAGGAAAAGUGAGUAGUUAAUACCUGCUCACCGUGACGUUAACAACAGAAGAAGCACCGGCUAACUCCGUGCCAGCAGCCGCGGUAAUACGGAGGGUGCGAGCGUUAAUCGGAAUUACUGGGCGUAAAGCGCACGCAGGCGGUUUGUUAAGCUAGAUGUGAAAGCCCCGAGCUCAACUUGGGAUGGUCAUUUAGAACUGGCAGACUAGAGUCUUGGAGAGGGGAGUGGAAUUCCAGGUGUAGCGGUGAAAUGCGUAGAUAUCUGGAGGAACAUCAGUGGCGAAGGCGACUCCCUGGCCAAAGACUGACGCUCAUGUGCGAAAGUGUGGGUAGCGAACAGGAUUAGAUACCCUGGUAGUCCACACCGUAAACGCUGUCUACUAGCUGUUUGUGGCUUUAAGCCGUGAGUAGCGAAGCUAACGCGAUAAGUAGACCGCCUGGGGAGUACGGCCGCAAGGUUAAAACUCAAAUGA
rnacentral:rRNA from 1 species